rnacentral:lncRNA from 1 species
CUGGCGCCUGCUGCUCCCCUCCUUGGCGGUGGCUGCUGCUCUUCCUCCUGGCGUGGUGGCGGCUGCUCCCCUCCUUGUCCUGGUGGCAUCUGCUACGCCCCCCUCCCCGUCGUGGAGCCGAAGGCGGCUCCUGUUGCCUCUCCCCGGUGUGGGAGCGUGGCGGUAGCGGCGGCGGUUGCUUCCCUCCCUGACGUGGUGGCAGCGGCUGCCCCCCCCCCCCCCAACAUCGUGCUGACGGUGGCUCCUACUCCCCCUUCCCGGCAUGGCGACGGCGGCUGUGGCGGCUGCUUCCCUCCCCCCGGCGUAGUGGAAGCAGCUGCCCGCCGCCCCCUCCUUCUCUCCCCGAUGUGGAGCCGAUGGCGCUUCUCUCCUCUAUCGCGACGUAACCACCAUGAUGAGGAUUAG